GAUGAACGCUGGCGGCGUGCCUAAUACAUGCAAGUCGAGCGAACAGACGAGGAGCUUGCUCCUCUGACGUUAGCGGCGGACGGGUGAGUAAUACGUGGAUAACCUACCUAUAAGACUGGGAUAACUUCGGGAAACCGGAGCUAAUACCGGAUAAUAUAUUGAACCGCAUGGUUCAAUAGUGAAAGACGGUUUUGCUGUCACUUAUAGAUGGAUCCGCGCCGCAUUAGCUAGUUGGUAAGGUAACGGCUUACCAAGGCAACGAUGCGUAGCCGACCUGAGAGGGUGAUCGGCCACACUGGAACUGAGACACGGUCCAGACUCCUACGGGAGGCAGCAGUAGGGAAUCUUCCGCAAUGGGCGAAAGCCUGACGGAGCAACGCCGCGUGAGUGAUGAAGGUCUUCGGAUCGUAAAACUCUGUUAUUAGGGAAGAACAAAUGUGUAAGUAACUAUGCACGUCUUGACGGUACCUAAUCAGAAAGCCACGGCUAACUACGCG
rnacentral:rRNA from 1 species